rnacentral:misc_RNA from 1 species
AGGGUUAUGACUGAAGCUCCAAUAGAGGAAGUUAGAGAGCCAACUACCUUAGCUAUGCCAUCUUUCCUGCUCAAGUGAACCUGCUCUAAUCUGAGUAAGGUAGCCAAGGUAAAGGUCACAGCAGGCACGGCAUUCUCUGUAGCAGAAGCGAAUGUGGGUGAGGUAUUAUCCAAACCUAAUAGGUAGAAUCCUUGAUUUGAUGCUAUUCCAACAAAU